GUGAGUCAUCGAAUCUUUGAACGCAUAUUGCACUCUUUGGUAUUCCGAAGAGUAUGCCUGUUUGAGGGUCAUUUGAAAAUUAAUCUGGACUUUUGUCUCGGAAUAAAUGAGUUUUCCGUUAUCGUUCUUUACGACUGGUGAUGGUCACUCGAAAUUGAUGCUAUGUCUUGGUUUGUAACAGACGCGUUUAUUUUAUUCAUAUAAAUGUUCGCAACUAAUCAAGUCUCGUGUUCUAGCUUGUUCAAUUUCAGCCUUUUAAAAGAGGAUGAAAUCAAACAAAAUAACAUUAUAAUCGUGACC
rnacentral:misc_RNA from 1 species